AUGGCAGGGAUCUGUGUAUAAGCAUUGUGCUACAAUCAUUGCACUCUUUCUGAAAGAGUUCCCUGCAAAAUGAUUGUUUGGGGAAGAUGGGCAGUUGUGUCUCAUUUUUCGGCCAUUGAGAACUACAACAAUCAUCUUCUGCACAUCA